GAUGAAGGAGAGCGGGUCUCAGCCGCUCGAUCCUCUGAUCCCAUCACGUGAAUCCGUGAUGGUCAGAGUGGCGCACAAUGGCAUUACCCUAUUUUUAAUCAUGCGAAUCAAAACACCACGAAUAAACAAUUGAUUCAAUCAUCUGUGUUCAGUGCUCGCGUGUGCAAGACGAACCAGCGCCUACACCGCCAACACCGAUCGAUCUCCUCCGGCGACUGCGAACCACCUUUCCUCUCUCCUACUGAUGGAGCCAGAGUUGAUUGAAGCUGAGGUAGUGUUACCAAUUCACCUCAGUUUUAAGAAGAUCCAAAUGUAUGAAAAGUAUCCAAAAGGGCAAGCAAGGGGUAGACACUGGAAACAUCUCAAACAGAUCAUUCAAGCUGAAAAUUAUCAGAAUUACCCCCCUGAUGAGCCAAAUUAUGUUAAUAUUGAAUCAGCACCUUCUAUGAAACCAGGCAAGAGAAUCUGUGAUAUAACAGGAUACGAGACUGCAUACUUUGAUCCAAGGACCAACAUUCGUUAUGCUAAUGCUGAUGUCUUUAAGCUUCUAAGAUCACUUCCCAAUGAGUAUGUUCAGAGAUACCUGGCUCUUAGAAAUGCAGCAGUGGUUCUGAAGUAACUUCGGCAGUCCAGGGAUAAAAAAAGGGGUGUUUUGUGGCUUGCAUUAAUUAUAAGCAAUGGAAGUGUCUCAUGGUGCAAGAGAUGUAUGGUGGGCUCAGACAAUUGCCCGACUAUCAGGCUGUUUAUUUGAAUCUUCUCAUGUCGUUUCCUACUUUUCCCCAUGUAUGUACAAAGAAGUUUUUAUGUUCAGUUAUUUACUAUUUCAGCUACUAAUAUACAUUUUAGGUGGCAUGGGUUCAUUAAUCUUUUUAGAAGAAUGGAUCAUUGUUACUGAAGGAAAAUGGGAGGAGUGGGAGGUAAUGACCUACAUUAGAUUUGGUUCGGAAUGGACUACAGUGAGAAGAGAAUAUUUUGUGUAGAAGUGUGAUAGUUUACCAGAAAAAAAUUGGUUCUAAUCUAAAGAAUUGCUAUUUCACCAUAAAAUGUCUAUUUCUAUGCUAUUUCAUGUUGGUGCCAACUGCCAACAUCUGCAGAGUUAUUUUCCUGUGCUCAUAUGUGCACGUGCAAUAGUUUUUUCGUUCCUACCUUAUUUCAUUGAUAACUCACAAUGCUUGGUAUGUUAGAAUGGAAUGAAAUGGAAAGUCGAUUCAAUCAUUUUGUUUACAUUCUUAUGUUUCGGUUUAUCUUUUAGAAGUGAGAAUAGACAUUCCCACAAUAACAGAGAAUGGCCAUUCUCGCGAGAAGUCUGAAUGGAUCCACACAAAGAUGUGAGGAAUGUCAUCUCUUGGCAGUUUUAUCAUCUUCUUGCUUACAUCUUUGGCUAGAUCCGGCCCAGGAGUCUGUGUGAUCGGAUAGAGGAUAAAAGAAUGGUCCCUGCCUAGUUUGGUUUAAUAAGAUAGAGUGUGGAGAGAAAUAUGUGGAAAGGAGAUCAAAAUCAAUUGUCAUUUACAAGAAUGUUUCCUGCACUGUCACUUUUAAAAUUUUCCAACGGUGUUUUAGUUUUUUUUCAUAAUUUUUCUUUAGUUCUCUCUGAUUUAGGAGUGAAACAAAGUGGGUCCUUCUUCACCCUCCUUUUUUUUUUUAAAAAGAAAUCUCCUUCUCUCUCCACUUUAUGUCAAAGGCAUCAAACAAGCAGGAGAAGUGGAGGCAAACUCAUUUCUUUUCUCGUCUUUCCACUUCUCUCCAUUCUAAUGGACUCCUAAUCACCAUCAUUAUCUUUCCUUUUUGUUUUUGUUUUUUUUUUUUUUUUGGGGGGGGGGGGGGAUGAAUUUUACUACUGCAUAGAAUCCUAGAUCGUAAUUUCAUUUUGCAAUAUCUAUUACUGUUCUUUCAUUGAUCAUGUUGGUACAUGUUGAUAUAUUGUAACAUUUUUAAAAUUUAAUUCUGACAUCUGUUUAUUGGUAAUUUAGGCAGUUGAAGGAAGAACAAGAAUGUGUUGGGAGAAGGCUGUCAAGGAGGAAGCAGUUUUUAUGGAAUGAUAUCUGUUUUUAAGUUGUGUAUUGAGGUUGUGAGCUGUGUAGUAAGGGGUGAGAAUUGAAACUUGAUGGUGUUCAUUUACUGGAUGUGCACUAUGUAGCUGGUAGGUGAUUUCAAACUGUUAUUUUCCAGGUGUGAGCUGUUCCAGCACACACCCCAGAGCACACCAUCUAUUGCAAGCAGCUGGGCUUCUGUAUUGAAUAAAGAAGUGUGAUUUUGCAUGGAAGGUUUGGAGCAAGCUGUUCAAUUACUUUGAGGAAAGCUGGGUUUGUCCUAGAACAGUGGCGUUCUUGGCAACAUUUUUGUGGGGUUGGGAGGAAGAAGGAAUUGCAUUAUGGAAUUGUGCUUUAUUUGCAGUGUUCUAGGGCUUGUGGAAGGAGCAUAACUUGCACAUAUUUUCAGGGAAGAAGUUACCAUAUUGGUUGGUAUGGGAAAAGGUUCUUUUUAUGGCUUCUUUAUGGUGUGUGGGCAAUUUCAAGUGGAUUUGUAUUUCAGAUGUUCAGGGCAAUUGGUAGUCUCUUCUUAGGGUGUGUUGAUCUUCUUUUGCUUUUUGUUAUUUUUCUUUUUCUUUUUGGUUUUUCUGGAAGGGAUGUGUAUUUCAAACUUAAAUUGCAUGUCCAGUUGUCUCCAGAGGUUUUGUUGCGUAUGUUCCCAAAUUUGAGUACUUUCUUCCCAAACAACCUCUCAUACUUGUCCAGUAGCUUGAUCCAAACUGGUGGACCUUGAACUAUCAUAGUUCAAUUUAUAAUAUGCAGCCUUCUCUUUUUGGCAGCCAAGCAAAAAACCUACUGAAUCUUCUGAAAUAGAAGGGCAACAUUUCCCUACUGUAUCUUUGAACAUAGAAUGGGUGACUUUCUCAUACAAAGGGACAAGAUUUUUAGGCAAAAAAUUUGAAAAUUUCAGAAUUCUUGAGAACUUUUGGUGAUUUCUCCAAAAAGAUAAAGAUAUUAGCUCUACCAUUUUUAAAGUAACAGCAUUGCUCCUACAAUCCCAAGUGUUCCACUACAAAAACAAAUCUUAACAAAAUGACCAGAUUCAAUUAGCUAUUGUAUAUGUGUCCAACUUUUAUUGUUUGAUAAAUGAUUUGUCUUGGACGUGUUUCAACAAGUGUAUGUUCAUAUUCAGCUUGCAAACCACACCUUGUCACUUACCUGAUACAAUGAACUGACCAGAUUUAACUAGUUAUGGAUAUUAUUCCUACUGAAUAUUUGGAAUUAUAAUGCAUUGAAGGUGGUUUAAUGAAGUAUUAAGGUGGAUAUUAUUUUAUUCCGACUCUUUUGUUCUUUGAACUUAUUUUUAAAUUGUUUUCUGGUUUUGAUGCGUCUUAGCUGCUGCUUGUGUUUUGGAAUUGAUACAUUAUUCCAUAAGAAUUUGGGGAAAAUGGGGACUGAGUUCUGGGAAAAUGGAAAAAGAGGACUGAAUUCUGGGGAAAAGUACAACUCUACAAGAUGAAUAUGAACUGACAUGUCCUUCAAUGCAAGUCAUCUCUGCUGAAAUUUGGAUUAUUUAGCUUUAUUAAGUUGUCUUGGUUUUCUAUCACUGUUCAUGUGUUUGGCUUUAUUAUACCAAAUUUUUAUGUCCAUAAAUUGAAAAUGUAAGAUCUGCCCUGUUGUAUUGAAGUUGGAAUGUGAGAUCAUCCGCGAGGUUGAAUCCCACUGCAUUUGCUUUUGCAUGUCAUCAAUAUAUUCUAUUUCCAUUCGUUUGUCCAUUAGGUACCAUUUGAAGAUUCUCUUUCUAUGGUGGAAAAGAAAAUCAGGAAAGAAGAGUGUUCAGAUGCUUUGACAGGGCCAUGUUUGGCUGAUGCCAAUGAAACAAUGCUCUGCAUUUCUGAGGAUGGAUUUUUUUGGGGGAUAUUGUCUGCUGACCAGAAAGCAUGAACUUUUUUUAGCUGCAAAAUUUAUCAUUGCACAAUGUGAUGGAAUGGGCUUUCAGUGUGUUGGAAGGCUAGAUUCCCAUUUGGAAUGUGAUUCUGAAUUAUCACUUGAAAUUGUGUUACACAUUAUACAUAUUUAUUCAAAUGCGUGAUGAAGUGAAUGGUGUUUUCACAAGUAUCGAAUUUGAAGCUUUCAGAAUGAAGAAGGCGAGAUGGAUACAAUGAAGUCAAAUGAUUAAGGCUGUGCAUGGAAUUGACAUGAGAUUGCCCAUAUGCAGGUUGGCAAGGGAAUGAUCAACUUGGGGCCUCAACACUUUAGGCUUCUUUUUUAAGCUUUUAUGUAAUCUCUUGUCACUGAGUUUUUGACUAGCUGCUAGAGAUGCAUGUACUUCAAUUUCUUGUGAUCAAUUUUAAACUUUAGUUGACAUAGAUGUGUGAAUAUAUAUUUCAGGUUCUUUCAAAUUGAUAUUUUGUGGUGUGUGUUU